rnacentral:piRNA from 1 species
UCCAGAGACAUCCACUUUGCCCAAUGGU